rnacentral:rRNA from 1 species
CAGCAGCCGCGGUAAUACGUAGGUGGCAAGCGUUGUCCGGAAUUAUUGGGCGUAAAGGGCUCGCAGGCGGUUUCUUAAGUCUGAUGUGAAAGCCCCCGGCUCAACCGGGGAGGGUCAUUGGAAACUGGGAAACUUGAGUGCAGAAGAGGAGAGUGGAAUUCCACGCGUAGCGGUGAAAUGCGUAGAGAUGUGGAGGAACACCAGUGGCGAAGGCGACUCUCUGGUCUGUAACUGACGCUGAGGAGCGAAAGCGUGGGGAGCAAAUGGGAUUAGAUACCCCAGUAGUCCCUGUCUCUUAUAA